UACUAGAGUAGCACUCGCAUAUCAAUAAGCGGAGGAAAAGAAACUAACAAGGAUUCCCCUAGUAACGGCGAGUGAAGCGGGAAGAGCUCAAAUUUGAAAUCUUAAAGGGUUUCCCUUUACGAAUUGUAGUUUAAAGAAGUGUUUUCUGUUGAGGUUUUGGUAAAGGUUCUUUGGAAUAGGACAUCAUAGAGGGUGAGAAUCCCGUAUUUGACCUUUACUUUCAACUUUGUGAUACACUUUCAAAGAGUCGGAUUGUUUGGGAAUGCAGUCCAAAAUGGGUGGUAAAUUUCAUCUAAAGCUAAAUAUUGGCGAGAGACCGAUAGCGAACAAGUACCGUGAGGGAAAGAUGAAAAGAACUUUGAAAAGAGAGUUAAGCAGUACGUGAAAUUGUCAAAAGGGAAGCGUUUGACACCAGUGUUGUUUUUCUGAAAAUCGAUUAAAGAACUGUUUAUGCUAAGUUGUUUAGACUUUAUCAGCUAACUGUUUAGUUUUGAGCUUUUCUUUAAUGCACUUUUCAGUUAACAAGUCAACAUCAAUUUCUUUUGCUGUAAAAAAGCUUGAGGAAGGUGGCUUGAGAUUCGUCCUUAAGUGUUUAUAGCCUCUUGCCUAUGCAGUCGGAGAGAUUGAGGUCUGCAGCGUAGAUCCUUCGGGGCUAAAUGCAUUUGUGCUAAGUUAUAACAUUUCAUAGACAACUUGUUGACUAUGAUUUGUCUUGUAGCUUACUCGCUUAUGUUAUUUUACCUACGCUUAGGAUGUUGAUAUCGCGCUCUCACUG
rnacentral:rRNA from 1 species